GGAAGAGAUUCGUCCCCGGUGGGGCGUCCGGACUUCAAAUCCGGGUGGGGCAGCGAGGCUGUCUUGGGUGGGUUCGACUCCCAUUCUCUUCCGCCA
rnacentral:tRNA from 4 species